CUUAACACAUGCAAGUCGAACGUUGUUUUCGGGGAGCUGGGCAGAAGGAAAAGAGGCUUUUAGCUAAAGGUAGCUUGUCUCGCCCAGGAGGUGAGAAGAGUUGAGAACAAAGUGGCGAACGGGUGCGUAACGCGUGGGAAUUUGCCGAACAGUUCGGGCCAAAUCCUGAAGAAAGCUAAAAAGCGCUGUUUGAUGAGCCUGCGUAGUAUUAGGUAGUUAGUCAGGUAAAGGCUGACCAAGCCUAUAAUUUGGGAAAAAAUAAGAGAGAUACGGCGGCAAAACACUACAUAAUGAUUCAAGGGGUGCG
rnacentral:ncRNA from 2 species